CUACGGGGUGCUCCAGUGAGGAAUAUUGCACAAUGGGGGAACCCUGAUGCAGCAACGCCGCGUGGAGGAUGACGCAUUUCGGUGUGUAAACUCCUUUUAUAUGUCAAGAAAAUGACGGUAGCAUAUGAAUAAGCACCGGCUAACUCCGUGCCAGCAGCCGCGGUAAUACGGAGGGUGCAAGCGUUACUCGGAAUCACUGGGCGUAAAGGACGCGUAGGCGGGGUGGAAAGUCAGGUGUGAAAUCCUACAGCUUAACUGUAGAACUGCACUUGAAACUUCUAAUCUAGAGUAUGGGAGGGGGAGAUGGAAUUAGUGGUGUAGGGGUAAAAUCCGUAGAUAUCACUAGGAAUACCUAAAGCGAAGGCGAUCUCCUGGAACAUUACUGACGCUAAGGCGUGAAAGCGUGGGGAGCAAACAGGAUUAGAUACCCCGGUAGUC
rnacentral:rRNA from 1 species